AUCACAUCCCCAAUAGGGUUUGACCUGCAAGCCAAAAGAACACACACACAGAGGGGGAUUAGAGAGUUGAGGCUGAAAUUCAUGGGGAUAAUAUGGGGAUUCAUGUCAGGGGAGAGAGAGUGUGGAGGAUCUAGCAGCGGCAUCUUUCCCGUCGCUGGCGGCGGCGCCGAUCUGGGCAAGGAGCAGAGGAGCAUCAGUCUGUAUUAUUACUUGUGUUCUCGCUGGACUAGUAGUACUAGUGGGUGCUCUGUUCGGUUGAGGACUACUAGUACAUAACUAGUACAGGGAAGAGAGAGAUAGGCUUAGUUUAGAGAAAGGGAGAGGGCACGUGGAGGAUAAAUUAGCUUAGUAACUUAUCCAGGUGCACACCUAGUACGCGUACUAAUGCGAGCUUAGUAAAAAGACAUUAGAAAAAAAGUAAUAUUUGACUGUAGGAUGACCACACUGCACCGACGUAUAUUUUUUCAUUUUCCUAGUAUUCACUCGACUUAGUCUCGAAAUAUAUAUUUGCCGAACUGCAGGAAGCGAGUACAGUCAGGAGAAGGAGACGCUACAGAAGCAAACUGAGUCCGGGUCUGAGUACGAGAACUCAGGCAAGCUCUCCUUGAUCAUGCUGAGUAGAGCUAUUUUUGAAAAACACUAUUCUUUGCUGCAUCUUAUCAUCAACUUGCAUAAAAUGUUUUGGUAAUAAAUUGUGUGGAGUGACUAUUGCCAAAAAGUUGGGUUAGCUGAUGGAGCAGCUAAUCCAUUGAUUUAUUUAUUUUUUUAUAAUUAUUUGGUGGGUAGAGGGUGCCCUGGAUGGACAUACUGGAAGGUGGGGCCCUCUACAUAUGGCUAGUAUAUUAAGAAUUAAAUAACUUUCACUCGUUUUAUGCGCCAUACUACAACCGUAUCAACCAUGGUCUCGUCUAAGACGAGUUGAGCCCAAUACCAUCAAGUUAUUAUACUCUCCACAUGGGUAAGUAGUAGUAGGAUGGGCGAUGAGUUCCCACGCUAAUGCCGGAUGGGUGCAUUAGCAAGCGCUAUAUAUAUUAAGCGUUGGUGGAGUGCGGGUUCCGAAACCCGACACAACGGCUAGUGACACUAGCCGGGUGGAGAUAUAAUAUACAAAUGGGAAAAAGCUUAGGUUCUGAACCAUGUCUCGCAUCUAAGGAAAUGCAGAUGGCAAUUAUGGUUUCGAGCUCUAUGGGUAAAGUGAUACAAACUCUGCAGAGUUAAAGGAAAACAUGAAUUCAUGCCAGUCUCUUGGAUUGGGGAUUAUGGGGACCUAUUGGUGGUCUAUCUCGCAAUACAAGUGUUUGAUAGCUUUUAUAAAUUGAAAUAAACUUUCUGCAACAAAUGGUUAUUUUGAAAGGUGUUGAGUUGAGGUAGGACUUGUUGAUUUAUAUUGAGCUAUCAUGAGUGUUGCAUUUUGCUUUUUGAGCUUGCUGAGUACUUUGUACUCACUCUUGCUAUUAAUCAUCUUGUUCUUAGAGCAAAGCGUGUAUGAGAAUCUUACUGGACCAAGUGACGAGAGCAAUGGUGAUGACUACAACUACACAGGGGACCUAGAUGUGGAUCCAUCUAGUGCUAUGUACGAUCUGGAUGCCACAUAUGGGGGUUGGGAUGAAUAAGUAACUAUGAUCUAGCUAUGUAAUCCAGAAACUAUUUUAUCAUCAUCUAUCUAGUACUGCUAGUUGGAACUCCGGUGUUAGGAGAUGUAAUAAUUUGGCAAAACAUGUGAGAAGCCUACCUGAGACUUUUAGCCUUGUGUGGCAAGGUAUUGUAAUAUAAAUGACCAUCUCUAGCUAUUUCCCUGUUGCAUAUCUCUGACAUGGAUUAUUAUUUGACAAGACACGAUUUUGUCAAGAAAUAAUCCAAGGACUAGUGUCAUUAUAUAUAGUAAUAAUGACACGGGUCAUCACAGGUGGUAUCAGAGCAAUGGUUUUGAGGGCCACGCAGAUAGUUAGAGACGGUAGGAAUACUUUAAUUGGAACCCAUACUUGCUAUAUUGCACUACCAAUAAACCCCACAUCAUAAUUAUUCUGUCCAGUAACUUUAGAUGACUACCAUGCUAAUUAGAAGCCUGUUGCAGGAUGGUUCGAAUUAGAAUUCCACCAUCAAGGGUUCGUGGCCAGCAUGCCCUACUACUUUGGCAAAUGAUGCAGGAGCUUGGGGCACCAUGUCCUCAAUUCUUUGAAGAGAUGCCAGAUGAUGGAACACACUCCUACAGGCGUGUAGUUGUGGUGCUCAGCGGUGUUCCAUCAGACAUGGACUUCUAUGUGGAGCUCUCCACAAUGCAGCGGUCAUCCGAUGGCACUCUACCCAUGCAGGAGGUUGCCAAGGAAGCUAUGCUUGGACUACGAGCACGCUUUGGAGAGAAACUGCGCACCACCGGAUACCGAGACUUGCCAGCACUUGAUUCUGGGGGUUUGGGGCAGAACCAUCAGCAAGGACCUAGAGGAGCAAGCCUGGGUGUUGGGUCUUCAUCAGCUCAGCCUACACCUAUCGCUUCAACAGUUAGCACCACUUCUAGUAUGACAAUGAUUGCUGAUACGAUGAUGUAUCAUACAAUGAAGGAGGAGCUUAUUAGACACCAGGAAGCAACCCAAUUCUGGUAUCAAUGCUAUCAGAUGAGCGAACAUGAUAGGGUUGUGCUUCAGGGAGCACUAAAUGCUAUGCCUGGAGGUCCUCUUAAUCCUAUAAUAGUACCAGGUGAUGUUCAAGAGGAAGAAGAGGAGGAUCCAGAGGAAGUAGAACUAGAGGAACAGGAAGAAGUUGAGGGAGUAGAGAACCCAAAUGAGCCACUAGUUCCACCCUCACCAAACGUACCACCUACACCACCCCAGCCGCUACCUGAACAUAUAGUUGAACCAGAACCAGCCCUACAGCCAGAUAUAGAGCAGCAGCAGCUACCCCACUUCCCUAUUCCACGACCACACCAACCUGACUUUAUCCACCCACACAUGAGUGUCAGCUCGAGGGAGUACAGGGAGGCUGCUACCUAUGCAAGGGUACUUGGGCUUGGCGCGAGUGACAGUGGCGGAAGCAAUUGAAGUGGCAGCGGUAGCAACAAUGGCGGUGGCAGCGGCAUCGCCUAAUCAAGUUCCAAUCUUCCAGACUCUUAGGCGUGGGACGCCUUGGCCAUAGACUAAUCUUUUGGGAUCAGCAGUAGUUAGUGUAGUGGCAGCCUGAAUAUGUGUGUUUAUGUAAGAUAUGUGUGAAUUGCAAGGUAGAGUUUGUCCCCUAUGUACUAGUAGGGACUGAACCCUAUGUGGUGUGUGCUCUAGUUGUAAUGCAGUUAUGCCCUUAAGCAAGACUUAUGUGAUGUACUGAUUGUAAUAUAAGUGCUUGUUCUAUAGUAUAUAACUUGUGUGCAUUAGGAGGCUCAUAGUACCUUACUAUUGUGUGCUUUAGUGAGUAAUCAGAGUGGUAUCAUUCUGGUUAGCAAGAGGCAUUUGCCACCAUGAUUGCACUUCAUGUUGGGUUACUGCAAAUUUAAGGACAGCAUGCUGUUUAUUGGUAUCACUUGCACUUGUGCUUGCUGAUUUGAAUCAAUAAUCAUGCAAAGAAGUAACCAACUAACUAGAAAAAAAAUGCGGGAUGAAUAACAAUGGUUUGACUGAGCAAGACCUUGUCUUUCGUUUGGGAUCAAGUGCCCAUGAUCAGCAUGGGGGUACUCCAGUUUCAGAAAAUCAAAGUGCCCUACCCGGAGCGGCGCAACUUCCAAGCAAUCCAGAAGUGGGCAAUGCUGGAACUUCUGGACUUAUGGGUGGAGAAGGCAAUCUAGGAGAUGUCCUUAAGUUCAUGGAGAAUUCUCGAAGGGAGUCUCAAGAGAACCAGAACCGCUUCCUCGAAGGGAUACUGACAAGACUAGUUCCUGGAGGAGCACACCUACCCGGUGCAGGAGUUAGCUUGGGAGAAUUUUUGAAAACUCAGCCACCCACAUUCUCCAAGGCGGUGGAUCCACUAGAGGCAGAUGACUGGCUGUUAGAAGUAGAACACAAUCUGGAAACCGUGGGGUGCUUAGAUGAAGAGAAGGUGAGAUAUGCAUCACACCAGCUAACCGGACCAGCAACAGCUUGGUGGAGAAAUUUCAGCCUUAACCGAGCAAAUAAUCAGCCUAUCACUUGGGAGGAGUUCAAGGAGAAUUUCCGUCAGACCCAUAUUCCAAAGGGAAAGAUGGAUAUAAAAAAGAGGGAGUUUCGCAAUCUGACUCAAGGUAGCAAGAGGAUAAACGACUACCUAAACCAGUUUAAUGAUUUGGCAAGAUAUGCUCCAGAUGAUGUGAACACUGAACCUAAGAAAGUGGAGGAGUUUAUGGAGGGGCUGCAUCCAUUCCUGAAAAUGCACCUCUCAAUUCACGGGAUCACCCAGUUUCAAGACCUUGUCAACAGGGCCUUCAUACUUGAGAAUGAGCAUGCCAACCUAAGUGAAGAGAGAAGGAAGAAAGCAAGGGUAGAUCCACGCCCCAUGAUGCAUCACCCACAUCCUAUGAUGCCUGGACCAAUGCGUCCUCAUAUGCCACCACCACGGCCUAGAUUUCCUACUCAGCCAAUCUUUGUUCCUAAAUGUGGGAAGUGUGGAAAAGGUCAUGCUACUCGAGAUUGUAUGACGGGUACAGGACUUUGCUUCAAUUGUGGGAGACUAGGACACCACAAGCUCAAUUGCACCUCUCCUCCCACGAAUCCUACAAGGCCACCUAUACAGCAGACUCAAGUGCAUCGUCCACCAGCUGGGCGAGGACAAGGCGGACCUAUGAACUAUGCAGCAAGAGGAGAUGGGCGGGGAGGACAAGUAGGAGGACAACCAAGGCUGAAUUAUAUGGCUGCAGAGCAACUAGGAGAAGCUACAGAUGUUGUCAUCGGUAAACUACUCAUUCCUCCUUCAGUUGGUACAGUUCUUUUUUAUACCGGUGCCACACACUCAUUUAUUUCCCAAGAUUUCGUGAAUAAGAAUGGAUUAACAUGCACACCGUUGGAAAAGGCUUUAGGAGUUAACUCACCUGGAGGGAAGAUUACAGUAGAGGCAAUGCGCAGAAAUCAACCAAUAAUAAUCCACAACACCAAAUUUUCAGCAGACCUGCAUGUUAUAGAGAUGUCAGGGUUAGAAAUAAUCCUUGGGAUGGAUUGGUUAGCUGCUAAUGGAGUAAAAGUAGAUUGUGAACUUAAAAGUGUAUCCAUAAGGAAGUCUGAUGGCUCUAGGCUGAUAUAUUUUGGAAGUAGAACCAGACCCAACAAUCCCUUAGUAAUGGCAGCAAGUGGACAAAAGAAAGAAAUAAAUGAUAUACCUGCAGUUUGUGAGUUUCCUGAUGUAUUUCCGGAUGAACUGCCGGGUAUGCCGCCUGAUAGGGAGUUAGAGUUCAGCAUUGUUUUAAUGCCUGGGGCAUCACCCAUCUCCAAAAGACCCUACAAAAUGUCACAGCCAGAGUUAGUGGAGCUAAAGAAACAAUUGGAUGAGCUGAAGGAAAAAGGAUUCAUUAGGGAAAGCAUGUCACCAUGGGGAGCACCAGUAUUAUUUGCAGAGAAAAAAGGAUGGAGGGUUGAGGCUAUGCACAGAUUUUCGAGACCUUAACAUGGUAACUGUAAAGAAUAAGUAUCCGUUACCGAGAAUAAAUGAUUUAUUUGAUCAACUCAAGGGUGCAUGUGUCUUCUCGAAAAUUUACUUGAGAUCUGGAUAUCACCAAAUGAAAGUGAAGGAAGAGGAUAUUGAGAAGACGGCAUUUGUAUCUCGAUAUGGACACCAUGAGUACAUUGUGGUUCCAUUCGGUCUAACUAAUGCCCCAGCUAUGUUCAUGAACUUGAUGAACAAGAUUUUUAUGCAAUAUUUGGACAAGUUUGUAGUGGUCUUUAUUGAUGACAUAUUAAUAUAUUCAAGAAGCAAGGAAGAGCAUGCUGAACACUUGAGGAUAGCACUUCAAAUCUUAAGAGAGAAUCAGUUGUAUGCAAAAUUUAGUAAGUGUGAGUUUUGGCUGGACCAAGUAGCUUUCUUGGAGCACAUAAUUUCAGGAAGAGGAGUUGAGGUUGACCCAUCCAAAAUUGAGACAGUUGUGUCUUGGGCUCGUCCGACCAACCCAAGUGAGAUAAGGAGUUUCUUGGGCUUUGCUGGAUACUACCGCAGAUUUAUAAAAGGGUUUUCGCAGAUUACAGCACCAAUCACCAAAUUGCUUAGGAAAGAAGCUAAAUUUAUUUGGACUGAAGAGUGUGAGAGAAGUUUUGAGGAACUAAAGAAAAGGUUAACUACCGCACCAGUGUUGGCAUUACCUAAAAGUGGACAAGAUUAUGUGGUGUAUUGUGAUGCUUCAAAAUCUGGACUAGGAUGUGUUCUGAUGCAAAAUGAUAGAGUGAUAGCCUAUGCUUCUAGGCAAUUAAAGACACAUGAAGUAAAUUACCCUACCCAUGACUUGGAGUUGGGAGCUGUUGUGUUUGCACUGAAAACAUGGAGGCACUACCUAUAUGGUUCUAAGUGCACACUGUAUAGCAACCACAAGAGUCUCAAAUACAUAUUUACACAAAAAGAGUUGAACAUGAGGCAGAGGAGGUGGCUGAAACUAAUCAAGGAUUAUGAUCUGACAAUUAACUACCACCCUGGUAAGGCAAAUGUAGUGGCAGAUGCACUUAGUAGAAAGAAGCAAUGCAACCACAUAUCAAUUGAAGGGUAUGGCAAAGAGCUACUGCAGGAUCUUGCAAAGAUGGGAAUAGAGCUGAGAGAGGCCACAUCUAGUGCUAAUAUAGCAGCCAUGACAUUUCACCCCACAUUGCUAGAUCAGAUUAAGGAAAAGCAAGCAAUGGAUGCAUUCAUCAAGGAGGAAACGAGAAGAAUUCAAGCGGGACAACCUUCACAAUUCAGGUUGGACCAGGAAGGAGUUCUUUGGAACCAUAGUAGGAUAUGUGUGCCAGAUGACCUACAGAUCAAGGAAAUUAUUUUGCAUGAAGCUCAUGACACUUUGUACACUAUCCAUCCUGGGAGCACGGAGAUGUAUAAGGAUGUGAAGGGAAAUUUUUGGUGGCCUGGUAUGAAGAGGGAAAUCGCAGAAUAUGUCAGCAAGUGUGACACUUGUCAGAGGGUAAAAGCGGAGCAUCAAAGGCCUGACGGGUUAUUAAAGCCAUUAGAGACACCAGAGUGGAAAUGGGAAGAUCUUUGUAUGGAUUUUAUUACUGGUUUGCCUAUGACACCGAAAAAGAAGGAUACUAUAUGGGUUGUGGUCGACCGACUCACUAAGUCAGCACACUUCAUUGCUACAAACCAGAAAUAUUCCUUUGAUAAGUUGGCUGAACUGUACUUAGAGAGGAUAGUUACCCUCCAUGGUGUGCCAAAGACCAUAACGUCUGACCAAGGUUCCGUGUUUACAUCAAGCUUUUGGAAGAGCCUACAAAAGUCUCUUGGAACUGAGCUCCACUUUAGCACGGCUUAUCAUCCCCAAACUGAUGGCCAGACAGAGCGGGUAAAUCAGAUCCUUGAGGAUAUGUUGAGAGCAUGUGUAAUGAACUUUGGAGAAUCAUGGGAUAAGCAUCUACACCUAGCAAAAUUUGCUUACAAUAAUAGUUAUCAAUCCAGCAUACAAAUGGCUCCAUAUGAGGCAUUGUAUGGGAGGAAAUGCAGAUCACCUAUAUGCUGGUAUGAAGUUGGAGAGAGACCAUUACUUGGUCCAGACAUAGUGAGAGAGAAUGAUGAGAAGAUCCAACUAAUCAAAGAAUGACUCCAGAUUGCACAAAAUAGGCAAAAGAGCUAUGCUGACCGGAAUAGGAGGGUUAUGCAAUUGGCAGUAGGAGACUUGGUGUAUCUAAAAGUAUCACCUAUGAGAGGGGUUAGACGCUUUGGAAUCAAAGGAAAGUUGAGUCCUAGAUAUGUUGGGCCAUUUAAAAUUUUGGAGGAAAAGGGAACAUCUGCUUAUAAGUUGGAGUUACCAGAACGUUUAUCAAGAAUUCACAAUGUCUUCCACAUAUCUCAACUUAAGAAAUGCAACAAGCCACCACCACAAGUAUUAGACUUGGAAAUUGAAUUACAACCAGACCUGACGUAUGAAGAACGACCAUUGAAGAUCUUAGAAGUUGAAGACCGCAAGCUCAGGACAAGGACCAUUCGGUUCUGCAAAGUGCAAUGGAAGAACCACUCAGUUCGUGAGGCGACGUGGGAGAAGGAGGAAGACCUACGAGUAACCUACCCCAACCUUUUUAAGUAAGUUUUCGAUUUCGAGGACGAAAUCUUUUUCUAAGGAGGGUAGGAUGUAACGACCCGUAUAU
rnacentral:lncRNA from 1 species